rnacentral:rRNA from 1 species
AGUCGAGUGAUGUUGCGCGGAAAAUUCAACGGGGCUAAGCAUACAACCGAAGCUUGGGCAGUAGAAAUACUGGGUAGGGGAGCGUUCUGUACGGGCAGAAGCAUCAGCGGAAGCAGAUGUGGACUGUACAGAAGUGAGAAUGCCGGAAUGAGUAGCGAGAAUUGUGUGAGAAUCAUAAUGGCCGAAAAUCUAAGGUUUCCGGGGGUAGGGUCGUCCACCCCGGGUUAGCCGGGAGCUAAGGCGAGGCCGCGAGGCGUAGUCGAUGCACAAACGGUAGAGAUUCCGUUGCCGCCAGAUCUUAAGUAACUGACACGAGGGUAGAGUUCAACCCGGCCGAUGGUAGAGCCGGGCGAAAGGGACUGAAGAAUAGUAGGGAAGUGAACGAAGCCAGCGGCGAGAAAAGGUUAUGUAUGAAAUCAGGCGCCCGUACCGCAAACCGACACAGGUAGAUGAGGAGAGGAUCCUAAGGCCAGCGGGAGAAGGGUUGUUAAGGAACUCGGCAUAUUGACCCCGUAACUUCGGAAGAAGGGGUGCCUCCGUAAGGAGGCCGCAGUGAAAAGGCCCAGGCAACUGUUUAUCAAAAACACAGGUUUCUGCAAAAGCGAAAGCUGAAGUAUAGGAGCUGACGCCUGCCCGGUGCUGGAAGGUCAAGGGGAUCGCUUAGCGCAAGCGAAGGCGAGAACUUAAGCCCCAGUAAACGGCGGCCGUAACUAUAACGGUCCUAAGGUAGCGAAAUUCCUUGCCAGGUAAGUUCUGGCCUGCACGAAUGGCGUAAUGAUCUGGGCACUGUCUCAACAGCCCGCCCGGCGAAAUUGUAGUACCGGUGAAGAUGCCGGUUUCCUGCGACUAGACGGAAAGACCCCAUGGAGCUUUACUGUAGUCUGAUACUGAAAUUUGGUUCAUUAUGCACAGGAUAGGUGGGAGACAGAGAAACCCGGGCUUUGGCUUGGGCGGAGUCGCCGUUGGGAUACCACUCUUGAUGAACCAAGUUUCUAACCUGCUCCCGUGAUCCGGGAGGGGGACAAUGUCAGAUGGGCAGUUUGACUGGGGCGGUCGCCUCCAAAAGAGUAACGGAGGCGUUCAAAGGUUGGCUCAGCGCGGACGGAAAUCGCGCAAUGAGUAUAAACGUAUAAGCCAGCCUAACUGUGAGACCUACAAGUCGAGCAGUAACGAAAGUUGGAGUUAGUGA